CGGAGGGAUCAUUAUAGAGUUUUCUAAACUCCCAACCCAUGUGAACUUACCUUUUGUUGCCUCGGCAGAAGUUAUAGGUCUUCUUAUAGCUGCUGCCGGUGGACCAUUAAACUCUUGUUAUUUUAUGUAAUCUGAGCGUCUUAUUUUAAUAAGUCAAAACUUUCAACAACGGAUCUCUUGGUUCUGGCAUCGAUGAAGAACGCAGCGAAAUGCGAUAAGUAAUGUGAAUUGCAGAAUUCAGUGAAUCAUCGAAUCUUUGAACGCACAUUGCGCCCAUUAGUAUUCUAGUGGGCAUGCCUGUUCGAGCGUCAUUUCAACCCUUAAGCCUAGCUUAGUGUUGGGAAUCUACUUCUCUUAGGAGUUGUAGUUCCUGAAAUACAACGGCGGAUUUGUAGUAUCCUCUGAGCGUAGUAAUUUUUUUCUCGCUUUUGUUAGGUGCUAUAACUCCCAGCCGCUAAACCCCCAAUUUUUUGUGGUUGACCUCGGAUCAGGUAGGAAUACCCGCUGAACUUAAGCAUAUCAAUAAGCGGAGGAAAAGAAACCAACAGGGAUUGCCUUAGUAACGGCGAGUGAAGCGGCAACAGCUCAAAUUUGAAAUCUGGCCCUUGGGUCCGAAUUGUAAUUUGUAGAGGAUGAUUUUGGUGCGGUAUCUUCCGAGUUCCUUGGAACAGGACGCCUUAGAGGGUGAGAGCCCCGUACGGUUGAAUGCCUAGCCUCUGUAAAUCUCCUUCGACGAGUCGAGUAGUUUGGGAAUGCUGCUCUAAAUGGGAGGUAAAUUUCUUCUAAAGCUAAAUAUUGGCCAGAGACCGAUAGCGCACAAGUAGAGUGAUCGAAAGAUGAAAAGCACUUUGAAAAGAGGGUUAAAUAGCACGUGAAAUUGUUGAAAGGGAAGGAUUUGUGACCAGACUUUUUCUGGGCGGAUCAUCCGGGGUUCUCUCCGGUGCACUUCGCCCAGUAAAGGCCAGCAUCGGUUUUCGGCGUGGGAUAAAAGCAGUAGGAAUGUGGCUCUCUACGGGGAGUGUUAUAGCCUAUUGUAUAAUACCGCGCUGGGGACCGAGGUUCGCGCUUCUGCAAGGA
rnacentral:rRNA from 1 species